CAACAAACAGAGCAGGGAAAAACAGCACCCCGAAGACAGCAUUCAGGACCCAGCCCUUUAGACAAAAGGGAUCAGAUCAGGUCUACUAGAUGGCCUCAUUCAGUCAGACACACCCAGUUAAGCAGCCCUGGAAAGGGACUCUAGAGAAUGCUAGAAGUACUGUGAAGCUCGCAGAUGGCCUUGUGGACUUUAGCACUUCAGGUGAGAUGAGAACACUGAGGCACAGAGAUUAUACCAGCUGGGCUAGCGAGUGACCGGGGGAAGCCUCCAGAUCCAUGCACACAACCGCCAGGUUUAUGACACCUCUAGAAAUGUGGCCAGUGCCCCUGGGGUCUAUCAGCAUCUCUUGCUAGACCAGCAGAGCCCUAAAAAAGAAGACAACAGUCUCCCAGCAAAAUGUUGCAAGCAGCACAGGCUCAGGAAUGGACAGACUGGCAGGCAAGACACAGCAAGAAGGCAGCAGUCUGCACACCAGGAGGAGAGUCCUCACCACAACUCAGCCCUGCCACACCCUGAUCCUGGACUUUCAGCCUCCAGAGCUGUGAGAAAUAAAUGCCUGCUGUU
rnacentral:lncRNA from 1 species